ensembl:lncRNA
AGAGCUCCUAAAAAUAGGUUUUCCUGGUUGCAAACGCGACCCCCAGCCGGUAAACUAAAGGUCUUCAUACACACACUUUCAAUUGGGUACUUGGCAUUGGUUGAGAGUAGCGCUUGAACGUGUCCAAGUUUCACGGCUGGCGAAAUAGACACUUUCUUGACAAAUAGUGAUGCUGAUACAAUAACGCACAUCCCCGACCCCCAUAAGGCAGAACUCAUCUUUACAGCGGACCAUCCUAACUAGGGUUGGGUACCAAAACUCGGUGCCAAUAGGGAACCGGUUCCGACGUAAACGGUAGUAACUAGAUCGAAUAAGAACAAACAUUUUGGUGCCUGAUUUCGGUGCCUGACUUUUUUUUUACCGCCCCCUGGUGUUCCGGCGUCAACUUAACUCGGCACACUUGUUGAACUGAUAGCGAGAGGAUUAAUGAAGAUGCCGAAGGCUAAACGCUCCAAGGUUUGGCUGCAUUUCAUGAGUAAGGAUGCAGACUCUGCAAAUGCAACAAAUGCCUUAAAGUAAUAUCAUGCAAGGUCGAACAAUGCAUCGUGUUUGACAACCUACGAGACGCAGAGCCAAGCACGUCAACAGCAGCAGCUAGUGUUGGCCUCGCCGCCAGACAAAUUGAAGAGAGUCCCAGCCCUGCCAGUGUGGUGGUGGACAUCACAGAUGAUGAUAACCGCAGCCGUUCUUCUUCGGUUACAACAGUGACUCCUUUCACCAUGGCUUAGAAGGCUGCACUAUCCAAAGAGAAGGUGCAGGAAAUCCACAGGGCAGUCACCAAAUUUGUGGUGAUGGGGCUUCAUCCAUUUUCCACUGUGGAAUCGCCAUCUUUCAGGGAGAUGAGCACUGCCCUCAAUCAUAGAUACCAACCACCAUCCAGGGAUGACAUAUCCAACAUGUACAUACCCGCGUGGUAUUCUGUUAUAAAACAAAAUGGCAUCCAGGAGCUGGUGCAGGUCAGCAAAAUUGCAAUUACUUGCGAUGGAUGGACCAGUGUGGCACAGGACCACUAUCUAACAGUGACUGUCCAUUAAAUUUACAAAGGCAGCAUCCAGCAGAAAGUGCUGAGCACUGAAGCAGUUUAUGAGUCCCAGACAGGGCCAGUGGUGGCACAGAAAAUCCACAGCAUUCUUGAGGAGUUCAAGUUGACUGGAAAAGUCAUAGCUGCCACAGUAGACAACGCAUACAACAUGGAUGUUGCCCUGAGAAACUAGACAUUUUUAAAAGUUUGGUGCUUUGCCCACACACUCAACCUGGCAGCACAUAAGGUGUUCAGCAUCCAAGCUGUGACUAGGUGGUGUGCAAAGAUUUGCGCAGUGGUGGUGUGGCUGAAGCGCUCUACCAUGAGCAAAACUGUCUUGAGAGAGAAGCAGCGACUCCUCAAUUUGCCAGAGCACAAUGUUAUCCUGGAUGUGAGGACUCGCUGGAAUUCUCUAUACCUCAUGGUGGAGAGGUUUGUGGAGCAGUUCCCUGCAAUCCAGGCAGCUUGCCUCGAUCAAAGGCUAAGGCGGCCAAAGGAGAGGGACAGACUAGAAAGGCUUACAGAGAGUGAUUUUGAGAAGGCAGAGGAAUUCAUUAAAUGCAUUAAAGUCUUGUACACCUCAACCCUCUGCGUGUCAAGUGACAAGUCCCCCACAUGCAGCCAAAUCAUCCCGAUACUCACAAAGCUGGAGGCACACUAUUCAACCUCCGAUGAUGACAAUGUCUUUGUGGCUGCUAUAAAAGAGAAGGAUAAUCAUGACAUUCAGAACUUCCUUCAGGAGGCCACAUUAAUGGACCCUCGCUUUAAAGGCAGGCUGGAAGUUGGUGUUGCGGACGCUUGGGAUAGGCUUGAGAAAGCAGCGAUUGACAAUGCCACGGCAGCUCAGGACCCUCAUCAGACUGAGGCAGGUGAGGAGGUGGACCAAGCAGGCAGACGUAUGUCAGCCUUGGAGCAGUUGUUUGAGGAUGAAGACCGAGAACUUCUUCAUACAACUCAGACCACAAGCAGUGCCCUCUCCAUCACAGAGCAGGUCCAGAAAGAGAUAAAGAUCUACAAAGGCCUGCCAGCCAUCCCAUCUGGACAAGACCCUGUGGCCUGGUGGGGGGUCAGGUCAUUAAGAAGAGAAAAUGGAGAUUAGAUUACCCUGGUAGUACUCUCUAUUAAUCUCCAGGUAUAAUUAUAUUGUUUGAAUGUGAAUUUUUAUUUUAUAUUGGUUUAUUAUUACCAUAUGUUACCUGUA